rnacentral:rRNA from 1 species
AGUGAACGCUGGCGGCGUGCUUAACACAUGCAAGUCGAACGAGAACGGAAUAUAGCUUGCUAUAUUUGUCAGCUAAGUGGCGCACGGGUGAGUAAUGUAUAGAUAACCUGCCCUUAAGAAAGGAAUAACAGUUGGAAACGACUGCUAAUGCCCUAUAUGCCUUUAAUACAUAAGUAUGCAAGGGAAACGCUUUAGUGCUUAAGGAUGGGUCUGUAUGGUAUCAGCUUGUUGGUGAGGUAAUGGCUCACCAAGGCUAUGACGCCUAACUGGUAUGAGAGGAUGAUCAGUCACACUGGAACUGAGACACGGUCUAGACUCCUACGGGAGGCAGCAGUGGGGAAUAUUGCACAAUGGACGAAAGUCUGAUGCAGCAACGCCGCGUGGAGGAUGACGCAUUUCGGUGCGCAAACUCCUUUUAUAUAGGGAGAUAAUGACGGUACUAUAUGAAUAAGCACCGGCUAACUCCGUGCCAGCCGCCGCAGUAA